rnacentral:lncRNA from 1 species
GUCUGCUGUCGCCCAGGGCAGGGGGGCUACAGCCGGAACGGCGCCGGGGGCAGCACUGGCCCCGACCCGGCCGCCGCAGGAUCCGAUGGGGAGGAGGAGUAGGAAGGAUCUCGGGAGAAGGAACUCGCCCUUAUCCUGCGGUGGGACGACGGGCCUGCUGCGCUCGACUGGGACGCGGGGCUCGGCCCGAUGCGCGUAGAGAUAGAAAUGUGGGCCCGGCCCCGGCAGCCGUAGCACUUUUCUACAUCGCUGCUGUGCCUCCCUCAUGGGAGUCAGGUCUUGCGCUGGUCACUGGACUGUGGACUUCAGAGGCCCUAGUGUCUCAGGGCUGCAUUUGAACUCUGGACACCUUGUUUUUCUCUCUGCUUUGCUCAUUGGUGUCUUGUGACUUUUAUGGCCUGUCAUGGAGGAACGGAAGGUGAGACACGCUUGCUGCACAUUUCCCUUCCCACCACCUGGAGCUUACCUCAGAGCCGUGGUUGCACCCUUGGUGCUCCAAGAAAGUUGCCUGACCUUUCAAGCUCCUGCAGUUCUUGCCUGGUCUGCACAGCACCCUUGUUAUCCUUAUGCUUUGUGCUUUAACUUAUUUUCAGAAGUUGGAUGGAUCAAAUCUGGCAGACAAUGCAGGGGCAGGGGAGCACCUUUGCCAAGGGAUUACUGGAUAUGGAUGCUGUUGCCUUGUCCUUGCCCCUCACUUGCUGACCAAACCACAUCCGUAACAUGCUACUGAAGUUUUGGGACAGCAUUCACUGAUGUUUUAGAAUUUCUUGGAAUCUAAAAGGCUUAUUGGAGGUAGCUUGUAUAAGGGCAAAGUCUUCUUAAAAGGUUGCAUGGGUGGGAGGUGGCUUGUUUUGGAGUGAUAAUGUAUGAGUGACCUGGGUUUCAGAAAUGCAACUGAACUGGGUGAGGAGAAGGCACUGAAAAUAUGAUUUGAAGUUGUUCUAAAUUUGAAUUAUUCUUAAGUCUCAGUUGUUAAGGUUUGGCUUCAAUGCAGAAUCUCAUUUUGCCGGCUCAUGGCUGAUGAAGUAUUUGUAGUGCUAUCCAUGCAGUAGCUUGGUGGUCUUGAUAAAUCCGUGUGGGAAGGGGGAUCAUAUGCUUUAAUCACUGCUGACAGCAUGGAACUAGAACUAAGACUGGUGCUCCUGCUGACGCCCUGUCAUCUUACUGUCUGAAACAGUGAGACCUGGGUACCUCCUCUGAGGAACUCCUCUGAGAGUUUUGCUGGUUAUAGCUUCUUCCCUGAGCCUUGUUUUAUUUCAUCGUGUUAAACUUAGGUGUUCUUGCUCUUGUUCCUUGAGCCUUCUUCUUUCCUGUGGAUCACUUUUUUUUUUUUUUUUUUCCCCAAGCACCUUCUAGAUGUAAAGAACAAAAUUUUGCUAAGGCUUUUAUUUAUUUACUUAGUUUAUAUCUUUGCUCCAACUGAAAAUUAGCCCACAUCCUUGGGGAAAAAAAAAAAAAAAAAAAGUCUCCAUGGCCAGACAGUAUGUUUACCUGAGGCCUUCUGAAUGUAAGCAGCUCUUUUUCUUCAUUUCUGCAUCCGUGGCUGCUGCAUUUGGGCUCAUUCUCAUUUGCUGUAGCCAAAGGUUUUGCCACCCUGCUAUUAUCAUCCUAUUAUAGCAUUACACUGGGUCAUGCUGAGGUGCCUGGGAGGAUUCACAAUCUUAGUGGUCCCUUGCAUGUGUGGGCAGGGCACAGUCUUGCUGAUGAGAUUAAGCUUUGUACAGUGUGACUGAAGAGGGGAGGAUGAAUGCUACUUCAUUGAUUUAUCCAAUGGUAGUUUGAGGUUUCAAAAUAUUCCCGUCUAAAAGGAAGGAUCAGCGUUACAGGAUUUCUUCAUAUUAGAAAAUGGGAUUCAGGUUGCUUCCCCGUGGCAGAUGAAAUGGGGAGUUGGAAGCAUCUCUGUGUGCUCCAGGUGACUGGUUCCAUCACCGAAGAAAUUGAUAUGCUAAAUUGAAGAGCAUACUACACAAAUCCUGCUUCCCCUAAAUAAAGUGUCCUCAAAAUAUGGUGUGUAUGGGAUGAAGGGAGGAAAUAACCAGUGGAGAUGUAUAGUCACAGAGGAAAGCUACUAAAUGGCGUGUGAAAUUUGCUUCAGUUCAGACCAGGAAGUGUGUCUGCCUGAGGGAGCAGAAGGUCAGGUACAGUUCUUUUGGAUUGCGGGAGCCCUAUGCAUGUGGCACAAGGGUUCAGUGCAGUGACCUGUUGGACAUGAUCAUUGUUUGCAGCUGCUGCAAGGUGGCUGCAAUGGCUACAUUUACAUAUUCACUUAAUGAUAGAAAUAGGUACAUAAACCACUGUUGAACUAAUGCACAAAAAGCAAUGGGAGCAGGAGUAACAAGAAGAAGAUUCUUUGCCCUCAGAUGUUGCUGAGCAGCUACAAGAAGUCAGAGGAUGCAAGCCCUGUGUAUGUACCCUUUAUGUUCACAAAAUUUACAGGUCUGUUAAUCAAAACUGCUUGCAAAUACUCUUUGAAUAGCCUAAGUCUUAACUAGAACUCUACUUUGUUACAGAUUUGUGUCCUAUGAGGAGGUGCUAGUGGAAAAUUAAGUGUAUGCUAGCAAGAGCAUGUCUUUUCUGGCAUUCUUCAUUUCAUAGCAGAAGGAAAGAGCUCAUUUCAGCCUGUGUUCUGUGCCAUCAGGGAAGGCAGCCUUCCUCUGGAGUUCAUGUGGCCCACCAUAUCACCUUGCACAGAAAGGUUUGAAGUGGGACAGAAGUGUGACAUGGCUCCUGCAGCAGAAGACAUUUAAAAAGUAAUCCCAAACUUCCUUUGUCUCAAACAAGAGAUUUAAGAAGAAAUUGCAUAGGAGAGACCUGACCUAUACACCUAAGUUCAAGUUUAUUUGUGAGGAGUUGGUUUUCAAGAAUGGUUUGGUGGAGAUGCUUGUUUUGUGCCUAGAGAUGCCAGGAAAUAUCUGAUGCUGAAAUAUCUGUAUGUCUUGAGCUCAUAAAAUUGUUGGAGUUGCAAAAGGGGGCUUUUCUGAAUGUGGACAGAGUGAAAAAUAGGCUGCUGACUUCUGUGAAGUUAUGGGGCAUGUACUUUCAUCAACUGGACAGUAAGAUCACUAGAAUGUAAGCAUGAUACAAGAGUAAAAAUGAUCCGGAAUGUGUUGAAACAAUUAUGAACACCACAUUGUAUGAAAAACAUAUCUGUUGUUUGUGCUAAGCAUCUACAAUACAAAAAUAAAAUACCUUAGGAACACCUUUUAUAUCAUGAAGAAUUUGGAGGCUAUAGACAAAGUGAGGGAUCUGAAUGAACAGUUAAUACUUUUUCUGUUGGUGAAGGGAUGGCUUAAAUAAGACUUUACCUAUAGUUGCAGUCUGUUACAGAGUUUAAAACAGAGCUUUGCAUGUUGAUUGCACUGAGUGGGCACUGGCUUACUAAUCCUGAGGGCACAUCUGUGAGGUAGGAGAGGUUGUGGUUCGCUCAGCUGGGCAGGAGCUGUUAAUCGAAGAGCCAGAUCUAAAAGGGUCCUUUCCAACUCUAACAAUUCUAUAAUUCUGUAUGAAAUCAAAGUAGGAGAUGUGUUGCUGAUUCUACUUUCUUCUUUCACUAUUUUUUUUUCUACCUGCUGCUAUGAACAGUUCACACAGGCUUGCCAUGCUUUCUGCUCAGCUGGCAAUAUUUGCAUCCUCAGCAAAGUAACGGAUGAUUCCAUUUUGCCUGCUUUUGGUACUGGUGGCUGGCCAUUCCUAGCUUCAAUGCAAGAAAAAUCAGAAUAGGAAAAGGAAGCCAGAAAUCACACAUGUAAAGCAAAAACCCUCCUGAAGCCCUGGUAUGAACAGUGACACCUGUCUGGAUUGCACUGCAAAAGCUGCAGCUGUGACUGCUCCUGGGAAAAUCUCUUUAGCUACCACGGGGCCUAGAGCCACUGGAGAAGGGUAAAGGUUAAGCCCUUCUUAGGCAAUUAAUCAUCCUUUUCUGGAUGACAGAGGUGACAUUUCUUAGUAGCUACUGGAGCGAGGUUGGAGCUCUAGCCCACUACCAGCUGCUAGUUGCUUGUAAAAACAGAGUGGGAAGAAGCAUCAACUGUGUAGAGAACAGUCCAAAGAUUUGUGCAACAACCCAAAAUACACAUGGUCCAGAAUUGAUUUCUCUAGCCAGGCUUCACCCCUUCCGGUCACACAGGUGAAUUGCCUUCACCUGUUCUCCCAGGGCUGACCUGGUCCCUUCUGCAGGUGAUCAAUCGGUGGUUCAGUCCGUGACUCAACAGUUCCCAUACAUUACCUAGCAGAGGUUUGGUAAUGUUAUGGUAGUUUGUAUUUCUCUGUAUAGUAUGGACAGAGGAACAUCUAUUAUUGGCAAGGGACUGCCAGCAAGCUGCUCAGGGAGGAUAUUGCCCUAAUCAAAUGUGCCACUAGCAGUAGCUGGUAGGAUGGCCAAGUUUAUUGGAGUUACUGACUGUGGUGGUGAGAAGCCAGACUGUACUCAGCACCUGGUUAUAUGCUUAAUAUUACAUACUGAUGUAGCAUCUCAAGAACACCUCCAUUACACCUUUCUGUCUCUUUUGGUAUUGGAAUUGAAAUACAGUAACGGACUUAACGGACUCGGAUGUAUGGGGAAGGUCUGCAUGCCUCAGUACAGCCUAUAUGUUGAGAAUAUUCUGCUCUACAGUGUGGCCCAAAAGAACCAUGUGAUCUGUCUGUUUGUUUUUUUCCAGUAUUUGAGGUCUCCUAUGCCACCAUAAUCUCAGAUAGCAGAGAGAUGCCUGUGCAAUCUUGCUAUGAAAUUUCAGAGGGAAUAAGAGUGCCCCAGAGAACCCAGACAGGACCAGUGCUUCUCUGCAGGACACUGAAGGUUGCUGGGUGGGAGGUAAUAGGAGAAAGGCCACUAGCAGGACAGAGGUGUAAUGGGUAACAACACAAUAGAGCUGGAAGACGUUGCUAGGUUUUACAUGAUCAGGAACUGCAAGACAAUUUCUUGUUUGCUGUCUAUGGUGUGACUUUACGUAGCUUCUAGCUUCCAGUGAAGCAACUUUCACAACCUGCCCAUUUCUGGGCCAUGUUUACUCAGAGAAAAUUUUUGAAAUACAGAAGCUUCUUUUUGUUCCCCCUUUUUUUUUCUGCUCUGAAAAAUAAACUGAUUAGAUCCUGUAUUUGUUCUUCUAGCAGAGCAGUUGCUGCCAUCCUUAACAACAGCUUCUCAUCCACUGAAACCAUGUUAUCACAUCCCAUUCUGCUUCCAGACUAAAAAAAUCCUGCUCCCCACUCUGUCCUGGGCCUGUUUCCCACAUGCUUUGUCACUGCCAAUGUUCUCCCUUUCAUUUUCAGUCAGCAGCUUUCAGUCUGUGUUCAAGUUACCCAGCUGCACAGCUGGCUCUGGGCAGUCCUUGCUUCAGCUGUGUACAUAACUGCUUCCUUACAGCCUAAGCCAAGAUGUCAAAAGAACACAGCUAAUUCACUGUUGCUAAUAUUGCCAUUAAUAUUUAUUAUAAAAGUAGCACCUUCUGUUGUCAGUUAUUAGUUUCAGGCUACUGCUGAAAGAAAUGAGGCUUGUUGGCAUUCCCUCUUCCCCUAAGCCAUCUUCACAUCCCUCCCACCUUCCCAGCAGACUCAGAUUUGGUUAGGUGUCCCUAACCAAAUAUUUUGACCUGUUCCCUGGACAAGACAAUACAAAAGCUGCCAAACAAUGGAUGAGGACCAGCCUCUGCCUGCUGAUCCUUCUCUAGAGUGACAGCAAGAGCUCCCUGCUGUACUCAGCUAUAGAAACAUUCUCAAUUUUGAUUCCUCUAUGUCACAUUUUUUAAUGAGCUAGUUCGUUCCUGAGUGAGUAAUGGGGGACUGGCAGUGCAAGAAGUAGCCCUAUUUUCUCAAGAAACUACAGAAAAGAAACAACAAGCCUGACAAAAAGACGUAAUUAAAUUGAUCCUUGAAUUUCAGAACAUAUAUUUUAGUAAAGAUCAAACAGUGCUUUGAAAUUCUCUUCUGAUUUUGAAACAUCUGGCUCAUUCUGGUUAUAUCAAAGUAGAAAGAAAAUCAAGGAGAAAUACCAUUUUGGUUAAGGCAAAAGCAGAGAAGAAGCAAAGUAGAGUGAGCCUGUAUUUAUAGAGAAGAAAAACACCUCUUUUUCCACUGCUUUUAACACCGGAGGGGAGGGCUAGGAUGGGAUAGCUCUGCCCCUUCCUGCGGCAGGUCUCACUGAAUGUUUUUUUUAAAGCUAGAAGAAGGCAGCCAAAGGAACAAGGGAGAGCUUUUGCUCCCCUUCUGUCAUGGGUCUAAUGUGAAGCAAUUCCUGCAGAAACUAGACUGUGUUUGAGGCAGUUCAGGUGAAGAUUAGGGCUGAGUUUCAUCUGUCCCAUCUUUAUAUCCACAAAAUAGGUGCCUCCAUCUGAAUUAUGGCUAGACUGGAGAGGCACUGGAGAGACACGGGCAUUGUUAGGCAGCAGUUUGCUCACCUGUCUCAGAUGUCUGCCUUUGGAGUGGUAAGCUCAUGCCCUAGAAAUGCUUCUCUAAUAAAUAUUAAACUGGGGGACUUUUCUUGUUUCAUUGAAUGAUUUGUUCUCAAUUUGUUAUACAAAAGACUUCUUGCUUUUAAACAGCAUUUUUCUAUUCUUGUGUGUUUUCAUUUUUAAUAAAGAAUUAAUCCUUGCUCAAAAUGAGGAUGUUCUGGUGUUCUCUGAGAGCAAAUUUUGAGAAUUUGUGAGGACUUCUAUUUUUGAAGUUAUGGGAUGCUAGGCAAGCCAUCCUGGUCUCUUCAGCAGUUCAAACACUAGUCUUGGGGAAAAUAAGCAAAAACCAGGCUAUACCUCCAACCUUUGCUGGAGUUACACAUGAGGUCUUUGACCAGCAGACACAGCAUAGAUGUGCUGCAAACAUGGUGCUAAAUAUGUUCUUCACAAAUAUUUACAGUUAAAUUCAUUGUAAGAAUGAAUCAAUAUUUAAUCUGAAGUAGCGUUAUGAAAUGACAAAUUAUAUCUCAGUCACUGUGAUGACAUGCGUCAUCCAGGGCUAUGUAGCUUUUUUAGCUACAUAGCUAAACAUUUCCUCAUGUGUAUGCCGUUUCUCAUAUGUUUUCUUGCUUAUGUAGAAAACCUCUAUUUGUAAUAAUUGAAAAAAAAUAAAAUAAGGGCUUUUAGAAUUUCUUAAAUGAAAUUAUAAAUGUCUCAAUGUAAAUAUACAUGUUUAGUUAUUGUACAUAUUACUAUAAAUGGAAAUAUACAUAUGUAUCAUUAGAAAACAAGGUAACAGUCAAAUAUUUUAUCCCUAUAGCAAGAAGUCAUACUCUGAGCUGUGUUUCAGAGUGGCUGGUCUUACAGAAGUGUUAUGUGCCUUUAAAGUGGAAGCUCUUGCUUGUCAGUUUCCUGACAUUCAGAGAUGUCCCACAAAAAACUGGGACUAGUGGGAAAAGAGGCUGUGAAGUUUGUGUUACUGUGGGAUGGGAUGCUACAGAAUGAAGUGAAUCCUUAAUAUUUUAUUAUGUUGAUCCACAACGUGAGAAGUGAAUGGUGGUGGUAUGGUAGUAGACAGUGAACCUUCCUACCCAUAUUCCGUAACAUUUUGUUUCUGUGCAUCAGAAGGGCAGUAUGACAAAAUGGCUUCUGAUACAAAGUGAGUAUGAAGCAUAGGUAUGAAACUGAAUUCCCCCGAUAUAAAAAAAAUUGCACCCACUGACGUUCAUUGACACUUGUUGAACAUUUAUGGAGACCAAACAGUGGAUGUCGGCACAUCAAGGCAGGGAGUGGUAUAUUUCAGCAAUGGCAACAGUGAUAUUAGGUCACCUCUGCUGGUGCAGAUUUUUUUUAAUUUUUUUUUUAAAACAAGCUCAGCAUGCAGACUCUUGUUCAUUGCUGGCAAAAACUUUUAGCUAAUGGUGGUGACUGUUGAAAAACUGUGUUUUGUAACUACUCUAUCAAGUAGCAUUAUUGUGCUAUUUAUCUGUUGUCAUUUCCAUAGAGAUAUAUAGAAACUUUUGGAACAACUUAUGUAGAUACAGACUACUACUAAUAUAUAGCUAUGGUCUCCAGAAGACCAACUGCAGGGUCAAGGAAGCAACAGCAUAGAGCCACAGUGUCACAGCCCAGUAAGGGCUUCUCUUCAUCUGUCCCAGCUGGACCCAAUUUCUGGAUGUAUUCCAGAGGAACACAUCUUCUGCUCAGCUCUGAAAAACCAAACAGCUGCUGCUGUGUCCGCACUAGCCCAUGCAAUUGCAGCAGCAACAUGAUCCUCACCUAAUCACAAACUUGGAGGGGAAAACCCAUAGUUAUUCAUUCUCUCUAAGCCAUAUCUGGGUUUCUUCUGGCUUUUCUCAUGAUUCAUGGUUCACACCUACUGGGAUGAAUAUUUAUAUACAUAUUAUUUCCUCUCCCCCACUCCUACCUAUGACUCUGCACUUCACUGCAGCUCUGCCCAGGGAUACCCCUGCUGGAAACUGGCUGACUCAGCACUGAGAGCCAUGAUGGGGUAGCAACAGCACUUCAGAGCCUGAGGAAUGUCAAGAUCUUCUCAGGUUACAUCCUCAGGAAUUCACCUGCUCUUCCCAUGCAUUAGUUGCAUGCUGAAAUGGAAGGUGCAGUUAAAAUCCACUGUUGUAUUAAUGUUAGCAGCUACCUUACAUAUUACCCCAAUGAAAGCAGAUGCCUGAGGUGUAUGGGCAGGACAUGACUGCCUAAAGCCAAGCCCUGAAUAUGCUCACAGUAACCUCUGUGCUGAGAUGAAACAUCGCUGUCAACUCUGCUAGGCAGCUUCUUAGGUUUCAGGGGUACAGAACAAGUACCAUCAUAUUCUGCCUUUUUCUUUAACCUUUCUAAGAAUAUGAGGUCCAGUAUUAAAUGUGGAGGUUGGCAGCCCUGCCUGUGGCAGGGGAGCUGGAUGUUGAUGAUUCUUCUGAUCCCUUCCAACCCAAAACAUUCUAUGAUUCUGUAAAAUCACGUUUAGUGAUUUUUAAUGUUUACUUCUUUAGACAUCUUCUGUUCAACCCCACUGUGUCCCCAUUGCUGUUGCUAUUUCCCUUCUUGUGAUAAUUGGCUCUUUUUUGAUAGAGUAGUUCAUGUUUUCCUUUUCAAGCCUAAAGUCACAUUAAGGUUUGAUCCUGCAGAUGCCUGAAAUCUCUCUAAUGCAUAAUAUAAAGUGUUUUGCAUGGUAUUUCUGUCUGAAGGCAUAAAGAGAAAUGGAAGGUCAGCUGCUUAAGAAAUCAGGCAAGUAAAUAGCCCAGGAGAGAUAUCACCUUAAACACACAAGCCAGGCGCAGAGCUGUGGGAGGCAACUCUCAGUUCCUGUCCUAGCAUCACAGUUACUAGAAACAGUAUCAAAACAACCAUACAUUAAAGUAGGUCAUAUUAGUCUCAAACAAAUGUUUACUGGACCUCAACCUAGGGUUGUUCUGCUACUGUUGUCAUCAAAAAUUCAGGAAGAAAACACAAACUGUUGAAACUGCUGUUAGAAAGCAGCAUUCCCUUAUUCUCCUAAUACAUACCAGGCAACUCAAUAAAUCAAGAGCAUGCUCUCAGUGUGCAGGUUCUAUGUUUAAACAGCUUAGACAUACUUACAUGACACAUCAGUAUACAAAUUAAUUAUUUUAUAAGAAUUUGCAUUAAUAUAUGCAAAUGUCCUUCUGGGUGUGCGUGGUCACACCUAUUGUGGUCAUAUGACUAUGCACUUCCUUCCCUUUAUUUUCUUCUUUCUCUUCAUCACAGUGCCCUUUGGCUGAUCUCUAGCUAUUUUUCCAUGAUUUGGCAGACUUUCAUUGCUUGUCGUGCCAUAAUGAGCAGCUUUCUAUCCUAGUAGAUUGACUCAAAACAAUUUAAGUAAAACCCAAGAAAAAGUCCUUGCACCUGAUGGAUACAAAGAUAAAGAGUAGUCUGUUGUGGCUUCAGUGAAGCAUGGAUUAUUCAAAAAAAAAAAAAAAAAAAAAAGGCUGUUUAGAUACUAAGCAAAAAUAUACUGGAAAAUUUUAGAACUAGUACACAUUAAUUUCUGGUCCCUAAACCAGUAUCCUAGUUCCUAUUGCUAAACCAGUCUGUAUCAGAACCAAAACACAUAGCAUCAUACCAGGCACUCUGAAGAAACCCAUUCCAUUCAAACUAAAACUAAGACACUUUACUGUUGUGCUUGAUUACUGUUAAGACCUUUGGCAACAUGUUUGUUGUGCUCCAAUAAACUAUGUCAUGUAACAGGAAUCAAAUAUUUUUAAGUUACAGGCUUUAAAAUUAGUACUAUCUUUUCUUAUCUCUUUUUAAAAGGUUAAAUGGGAAAAGGAAUCACUCUGAUAUGAGUUGCAGUGAUACUAUUAAGCUUGCUAAGUUUCACUGUUGGGUAGCCCUGUGUCCUUACACUGAGCAGAUAAGGUGAGUUCUGUCAAGUCUUUGUAUUAGGUUAAUAAAGGAAGCUCUGCUCUGAAACAUCUAAUUUUGUGCAAGCAAAUAUUGUGCAGUCAAGGUAUUCUGCUCACAAAAAAGCAAAAUUGCUUGUGACAGGAUCUUGGCAAUAAAAGAAGUAAUUUCAAGUAUGCCAAUAGUCAUAAACAAAAAGAAGAGUUGAACUUACCCAACCAUUGAGGGACUAUACAGCACUCCUUCUCUGGAAACAUCCUAGAUCUAUGAGGUGGUCUCCUUUCAGUGGCUGGCCUUUAUAUGAGCCUAGGGUGGCUCUAUGCUGGGUCUGUGCCUUCUGGUCACAUGGGGAGCAAAGGUGCAAAUAGUUUGCUUGUGCUCCUGUCAAUGGUUUCUGGGCCUGUUAGACCCAGUUCCAUGACAGAUGGGGCAGGGGGACCCAAAGACCCAUG